CAGAGCUCCAAACAUCGUUAAUGUCAAUCAGCCAAAAUAUCUCUUCACUGGUGUAUGUGAUUCCAUUGGGUGUCAGUGGAGCAGUUAGCACCCGAAUAUCAAAUGAAUUGGGUGCAAAAAAUCCAAGGGCCGCUGUGCUUGCUGUGCUAUCUGCGGCGAUAAGCAUA